UCUGGUCUUGGAUUCCUGGCUUCAAGUGAUCCUCCCCUCUCGGCCUCACAAAGUGUUGGGAUUACAGAUACGGGUUACCGUGCCCUGCCAAUGAAACUUAUUAAAGCUCAGUAAGGAAAACUUUAUUCAGGACCAUUGUGAUUGGUAUAGCGACCACUACAAUGGGGUCUCACAGUGAGGGACAGAGAUUGGGCUUAACUUCAAAUACAGCAUGGGCAAAUCAGAAUUUAUACCUAAGGAGCAGUGUGGGGGUCAGUGGAUAGACAAUUACUAAGUGGAAACAUCAGGGGUAAAGGGUGUUCUGGGUAAAGUGACCUCACAGGAUUCUUGCUGAAGACAGGCCAGGGUGAUCAGAUAUCACUUGGGGGAUGAUGGGUAGAGGAUGAGGAAUUUUUUAAAAUAAAUA